rnacentral:sRNA from 1 species
GCCAGGCACAGUGGUGCAUGCCUGUAAUCCCAGCUGCUUGGGAGGCUGAGGCAGGAGGAUUGGAGUUCAAAGCCAGCCUCAG